rnacentral:lncRNA from 1 species
ACCAAUAAAAGGAAGCGUUCUCUAAUGUCAUGGGGUCCAGAGUGCCCUUUCUUUCCUUCUAAGGUCAUCAAAGAUUCUACAUGAUCUCCAGCAAGUCUUAUCUUUCCCAUGAAAUCCGAGCUUAUCAUUCCAACAACAGAGAGUCUCCUUUUCUGAAAUCCUUUAUCAUUUACCAAUUUCUCUGUUCUGAUCCCCAAGUCCUAAUGGUGUGUAUUCAGCCUCAGAGUGGAGGAAUGUGGUGUGUCUCAGGUAAUACUACCCUCCAGAAAAGUGGAACUAAUUCUAUCUCUCAGUAGCUGUAUAUGAGAAAGCCUGUUUACUCAAACCCUUGGCAAAGCUGAACACUAUCUUCUUUGAACUUUACCAAUUGACAGG